rnacentral:rRNA from 1 species
GACGAACGCUGGCGGCGUGCCUAAUACAUGCAAGUCGAACGCAGUGGGGACGGGUGAGUAACACGUGGGUAACCUCCCAUCAGAGGGGAUAACACUUGGAAACAGGUGCUAAACCGAUACUGAUGGAUGGACCCGCGGUGCAUUAGCUAGUUGGUGAGGUAACGGCUCACCAAGGCCACGAUGCAUAGCCGACCUGAGAGGGGGAUCGGCCACACUGGAACUGAGACACGUCCCAGACUACUACGGGAGGCAGCAGUAGGGAAGCUACGACAAUGGAAGGAAGUCGGACCGGACAACGCCGCGUGGGUGAAGAAGGGUUUCGGAUCGUAAAACUCUGUUGUUAGAGAAGCGGUAUCUAACCAGAAAGCAACGGCUAACUCCGUGCCAGCAGCCGCGGUAAUAC